rfam:Picea glauca, whole genome shotgun sequence.
GUUCUAGCUUGAGACCAACCUUAAUGCACCAGAUCCCAUCAGAACUCCGCAGUUAAGCACGCUUGGGCUAGAGUAGUACUAGGAUGGGUAACCUCCUGGGAAGUCCUAGUGUUGAGACCA